rnacentral:rRNA from 1 species
CUGGAAAUGUAUAAAGUCUUGUAGACUGCAUUUAUUAGAAUGAAAACCAUAGGUUUCGGCCUAUUCGUGAGUAAUAAUAACUAAUCAUAUCGUAUGCUUAUGUAACGAUGUGUCUUUCAAGUUUCUGCCCUAUCAGCUUUCGAUGGUAGUGUAUUGGACUACCAUG